UCUGAAAGACAGGCACAAAACCAAUUAGCCUCCAAAUCGUAAGAGUUAAAGAGCGCUUCAUUAGUUUUCCUAUACACAGAGCUCCUGAAAUGAGAGCCAUAGGCAAGGGUCCCUUUCUUUCUCACAACUGCAAAUUAAACCAAUCCGCUGCUUGUUAAACAGGUGCUGGAUUGAGAGCCUUGGAGACUGUCGAGUUUGUGUUCCCAGGAGAGCGCCAAGAUGGGCAGCAGCCACACGGGCUUCCUGGCGCUGCUCUCUAAGUCAGGCCCAUUUGGAGUCUGAAGAUCUCUCUGGCAGGAGCAGACCUGAGGGUGGAGCCCUCUCUCGCACACCCCUGGUUUCCAUCCUCUCGAGUAUCUUCAGCAGACUGGAAAAAAGACAAAAGGACCGCUGUGACCAGGUGGGCAGAUGCACCGAUAGCCAUUGAUUUCAUCUACGCAUGUAGCUCCAAAAGCACAAGGGAAAUGUGGCCUUGAGUUUUCUUGAACUAUGGAAAGGAAAAUCUUCACUGAGGGAAGAGAAAAAAAGAAAGAACAAAGGAGAAGGACACACACGGAUG